GUAAAUGCUUUUUCACAAUUAGAUUCUGAAAUUGAACACUUUUAAGAACUUUCCCGCGCGGACUCAUAUUUUUUUCGGUUGUGGAGAAUGAGCUUAGAAAUGAAUGCAAAAGGAAAAGACAAACUUCAGGCCUGCCAACUUGUGCAAAAGGCACAGUCAAAUAGGGAAAGAAUGCGUGUCUCACACAACUUGGCGCUUCGACAGCCCUAGAACAUAACGGUGACUAGCAAAAGGAGAGCAAAAAAUGGACGCCAAGCGAAUGGGGCCAAAAGGAACUUGCAAAGAGUUUUCUUGCUUAUGGUUUGUAUUCUAUAUAUUAGAGCACAUUUUGCUCUCUUAAGAAGAAAAUGGAAUAGACCACAACAAACCGAAAGCGAAGAAGAAUGGAACAAGUAAAUUGAGUUUUCUCGUUAGUAAAAUGGAUUACAACGAAAAAUUAAAUACCAUUUCGACACUAUCAUCCAUUAACAAA